rnacentral:rRNA from 1 species
AACGAACGCUGGCGGCAUGCCUAACACAUGCAAGUCGAACGGGAUCCAGGCUUCGGCCUGGUGAGAGUGGCGGACGGGUGAGUAACACGUGGGAACCUGCCUUUUGGUUCGGGAUAACCGCGGGAAACUGCGGCUAAUACCGGAUGCUCCCGAGAGGGGAAAGAUUUAUCGCCAGAAGAGGGGCCCGCGUCCGAUUAGGUAGUUGGUGAGGUAAUGGCUCACCAAGCCGACGAUCGGUAGCUGGUCUGAGAGGAUGAUCAGCCACACUGGGACUGAGAUACGGCCCAGACUCCUACGGGAGGCAGCAGUGGGAAUAUUGGACAAUGGGGCAACCCUGAUCCAGCAAUGCCGCGUGAGUGAUGAAGGCCUUAGGGUUGUAAAGCUCUUUUGUCCGGGAAGAUAAUGACUGUACCGGAAGAAUAAGCCCCGGCUAACUUCGUGCCAGCAGCCGCGGUAAU